ACAGCAUGGUGUGGACAUUUAUGAAUUAGGUCUUUGAGCCUUUCCCAAGUCUCAUGGAAUAUUUCCCCAUCCAGUUGGGAGAAAUUGGUUAUAACUUUUCUAAUUU